rnacentral:rRNA from 1 species
UACGAAGGGGGCUAGCGUUGUUCGGAAUUACUGGGCGUAAAGCGCACGUAGGCGGCGAUUUAAGUCAGAGGUGAAAGCCCGGGGCUCAACCCCGGAACUGCCUUUGAGACUGGAUUGCUAGAAUCUUGGAGAGGCGAGUGGAAUUCCGAGUGUAGAGGUGAAAUUCGUAGAUAUUCGGAAGAACACCAGUGGCGAAGGCGGCUCGCUGGACAAGUAUUGACGCUGAGGUGCGAAAGCGUGGGGAGCAAACAGG